UACGUAGGGCGCAAGCGUUGUCCGGAUUCACUGGGUGUAAAGGGUGCGUAGGCGGGAAGGCAAGUCAGAGGUGAAAUCUCACGGCUCAACCGUGAAACUGCCUUUGAUACUGCUUUUCUUGAGUUAGGGAGAGGUCGAUGGAAUUCCAGGUGUAGCGGUGAAAUGCGUAGAUAUCUGGAAGAACACCGGUGGCGAAGGCGGUCGACUGGCCCUAAACUGACGCUGAGGCACGAAAGCGUGGGGAUCAAACAGGAUUAGAUACCCUGGUAGUCCACGCCCUAAACGAUGAAUACUUGGUGUUGGCCCGUAUGGGUCAGUGCCGAAGGUAACCUGAUAAGUAUUCCACCUGGGGAGUACGCUCGCAAGGGUGAA
rnacentral:rRNA from 1 species